GAUGAACGCUGGCGGCGUGCCUAAUACAUGCAAGUCGAGCGAACAGACGAGGAGCUUGCUCCUCUGACGUUAGCGGCGGACGGGUGAGUAACACGUGGAUAACCUACCUAUAAGACUGGGAUAACUUCGGGAAACCGGAGCUAAUACCGGAUAACAUGUUGAACCGCAUGGUUCAACAGUGAAAGACGGUCUUGCUGUCACUUAUAGAUGGAUCCGCGCCGCAUUAGCUAGUUGGUAAGGUAACGGCUUACCAAGGCAACGAUGCGUAGCCGACCUGAGAGGGUGAUCGGCCACACUGGAACUGAGACACGGUCCAGACUCCUACGGGAGGCAGCAGUAGGGAAUCUUCCGCAAUGGGCGAAAGCCUGACGGAGGAACGCCGCGUGAGUGAAGAAGGUCUUCGGAUCGUAAAACUCUGUUAUUAGGGAAGAACAAAUGUGUAAGUAACUAUGCACGUCUUGACGGUACCUAAUCAGAAAGCCACGGCUAACUACGUG
rnacentral:rRNA from 1 species